rnacentral:rRNA from 1 species
AGAGUUUGAUCAUGGCUCAGGACGAACGCUGGCGGCGUGCUUAACACAUGCAAGUCGAGCGGAAAGGCCUUUCGGGGUACUCGAGCGGCGAACGGGUGAGUAACACGUGAGUAAUCUGCCCUUGGCUUUGGGAUAACUACCGGAAACGGUGGCUAAUACCGGAUACGACACAGGUGUGCAUGCACUCUGUGUGGAAAGUUUUUUCGGCCAGGGAUGUGCUCGCGGCCUAUCAGCUUGUUGGUGGGGUAAUGGCCUACCAAGGCUUCGACGGGUAGCCGGCCUGAGAGGGUGACCGGCCACACUGGGACUGAGACACGGCCCAGACUCCUACGGGAGGCAGCAGUGGGGAAUAUUGGACAAUGGGCGGAAGCCUGAUCCAGCAACGCCGCGUGAGGGAUGACGGCCUUCGGGUUGUAAACCUCUUUCAGUACCGACGAAGCGCCGAUGAUGGUGGUGACGGUAGGUACAGAAGAAGCACCGGCCAACUACGUGCCAGCAGCCGCGGUAAUACGUAGGGUGCGAGCGUUGUCCGGAAUUAUUGGGCGUAAAGGGCUCGUAGGCGGUUUGUCGCGUCGGGAGUGAAAAUCCAGGGCUUAACUCUGGACUGGCUUUCGAUACGGGCAGACUAGAGGUAUGCAGGGGAGAACGGAAUUCCUGGUGUAGCGGUGAAAUGCGCAGAUAUCAGGAGGAACACCGGUGGCGAAGGCGGUUCUCUGGGCAUUACCUGACGCUGAGGAGCGAAAGUGUGGGGAGCGAACAGGAUUAGAUACCCUAGUAGUCC